rnacentral:rRNA from 1 species
AUUGAACGCUGGCGGCAUGCCUAACACAUGCAAGUCGAACGGCAGCACGGGAGCUUGUCCCUGGUGGGGAUUGGGGGAGGCGGGUGUGUUACAUAUGCAUAUGUAACGUAGUGGGCGUUGGGGAGGUGGAAGACCGAUUGAUACUGCUUACGAAUAACGGCUACGGGCGGGGGCACGAGGGGAUUCGCGUUUUCGCGUUGGACAGGGGCGGAUUAGCUAGUUGGUGGGGUAAAGGCCUACCAAGGCGACGAUCAGUAGCUGGUCUGAGAGGAUGAUCAGCCACACUGGAACUGAGACACGGUCCAGACUCCUACGGGAGGCAGCAGUGGGGAAUUUUGGACAAUGGGCGAAAGCCUGAUCCAGCAAUGCCGCGUGAGUGAAGAAGGCCUUCGGGUUGUAAAGCACUUUUGUUCGGAAAGAAAACCUGCGCCCUAAUACGGUCCUGUUAUGACGGUACCCAAAGAAUAAGCACCGGCUAACUACGUG